rnacentral:misc_RNA from 1 species
AUUGUAAAGUUGAUGGUGUGCGAACAGAUGUUCUUAUUAGUGGAGCUGCAGCUCAAAACAGAGCCGUUGAAGGAGACACUGUUGCUGUUGAAGUUGAUCCUCCUUCUCUUUGGACUAGAAUGAAAGGAUAUACAGUUAGUGUUGAGAGUUCGGCUUUGGUAGAUGAUGGUAUGUUGGAGUCCGUCAAUUCAGACUUCGUCAGAGAGAGUUGCAAAGGGAAGAACAAGGUAGACACAGAUUAUGAGUUCAGUAGUUCUGGAAAUUGUUCUAGCCCCUUGAAAAAUGUGUUAGGUUAUAGAAGCGGGCAGUCCUUUGGAGACAUUUCACAUCCUGAAGAAAAG